rnacentral:rRNA from 1 species
UACGAAGGGGGCUAGCGUUGCUCGGAAUGACUGGGCGUAAAGGGCGCGUAGGCGGAUGGCACAGUCAGAUGUGAAAUUCCCGGGCUUAACCUGGGGGCUGCAUUUGAUACGUGUUGUCUAGAGUGAGGAAGAGGGUUGUGGAAUUCCCAGUGUAGAGGUGAAAUUCGUAGAUAUUGGGAAGAACACCGGUGGCGAAGGCGGCAACCUGGUCCUUGACUGACGCUGAGGCGCGAAAGCGUGGGGAGCGAACAGG